CACGCGGAGGGAUCAUUACCGAGUUUACAACUCCCAAACCCAAUGUGAACCAUACCAAACUGUUGCCUCGGCGGGGUCACGCCCCGGGUGCGUCGCAGCCCCGGAACCAGGCGCCCGCCGGAGGGACCAACCAAACUCUUUCUGUAGUCCCCUCGCGGACGUUAUUUCUUACAGCUCUGAGCAAAAAUUCAAAAUGAAUCAAAACUUUCAACAACGGAUCUCUUGGUUCUGGCAUCGAUGAAGAACGCAGCGAAAUGCGAUAAGUAAUGUGAAUUGCAGAAUUCAGUGAAUCAUCGAAUCUUUGAACGCACAUUGCGCCCGCCAGUAUUCUGGCGGGCAUGCCUGUCCGAGCGUCAUUUCAACCCUCGAACCCCUCCGGGGGGUCGGCGUUGGGGAUCGGGAACCCCUAAGACGGGAUCCCGGCCCCGAAAUACAGUGGCGGUCUCGCCGCAGCCUCUCCUGCGCAGUAGUUUGCACAACUCGCACCGGGAGCGCGGCGCGUCCACGUCCGUAAAACACCCAACUUCUGAAAUGUUGACCUCGGAUCAGGUAGGAA
rnacentral:rRNA from 1 species